rnacentral:rRNA from 1 species
GGGCAGUGCCGGGUGACGGGUUUUAAAAAAAAAUUAGCCAAAGAAAAGGGGUUGCCCUUCAAAGAAGGGGGAACGGGGAGAAAACGGGGCAACCUGCCUCAAGGCUGGGGAUAACAUUUGGAAACAGAUGCUAAUACCGAAUAAAACUUAGUGUCGCAUGCCAAAAGUUAAAAGGCGCUUCGGCGUCACCUAGAGAUGGAUCCGCGGUGCAUUAGUUAGUUGGGGGGUAAAGGCCUACCAAGCCAAUAAGGCAAGCCGAGUUAAAGACUGAUCGGCCACAUUGGAAUGAAACACGGCCCAAAUUCCUACGGGAGGCUGCAGUAGGGAUUUUCCCCAAUGGGCGAAAGCCUGAUGGAGCAACGCCGCGUGUGUGAUGAAGGCUUUCGGGUCGUAAAGCACUGUUGUAUGGAAGAACAGCUAGAAUAGGAAAUGAUUUUAGUUUGACGGUACCAUACCAGAAAGGGACGGCUAAAUACGUGCCAGCAGCCGCGGUAAUACGUAUGUCCCGAGCGUUAUCCGGAUUUAUUGGGCGUAAAGCGAGCGCAGACGGUUUAUUAAGUCUGAUGUGAAAGCCCGGAGCUCAACUCCGGAAUGGCAUUGGAAACUGGUUAACUUGAGUGCAGUAGAGGUAAGUGGAACUCCAUGUGUAGCGGUGGAAUGCGUAGAUAUAUGGAAGAACACCAGUGGCGAAGGCGGCUUACUGGACUGCAACUGACGUUGAGGCUCGAAAGUGUGGGUAGCAAACAGGAUUAGAUACCCUGGUAGUCCACACCGUAAACGAUGAACACUAGGUGUUAGGAGGUUUCCGCCUCUUAGUGCCGAAGCUAACGCAUUAAGUGUUCCGCCUGGGGAGUACGACCGCAAGGUUGAAACUCAAAGGAAUUGACGGGGACCCGCACAAGCGGUGGAGCAUGUGGUUUAAUUCGAAGCAACGCGAAGAACCUUACCAGGUCUUGACAUCCUUUGAAGCUUUUAGAGAUAGAAGUGUUCUCUUCGGAGACAAAGUGACAGGUGGUGCAUGGUCGUCGUCAGCUCGUGUCGUGAGAUGUUGGGUUAAGUCCCGCAACGAGCGCAACCCUUAUUGUUAGUUGCCAGCAUUCAGAUGGGCACUCUAGCGAGACUGCCGGUGACAAACCGGAGGAAGGCGGGGACGACGUCAGAUCAUCAUGCCCCUUAUGACCUGGGCUACACACGUGCUACAAUGGCGUAUACAACGAGUUGCCAACCCGCGAGGGUGAGCUAAUCUCUUAAAGUACGUCUCAGUUCGGAUUGUAGUCUGCAACUCGACUACAUGAAGUCGGAAUCGCUAGUAAUCGCGGAUCAGCACGCCGCGGUGAAUACGUUCCCGGGUCUUGUACACACCGCCCGUCACACCAUGGGAGUUUGUAAUGCCCAAAGCCGGUGGCCUAACCUUUUAGGAAGGAGCCGUCUAAGGCAGGACAGAGACUGGGGGAAGUCGUAACAAGGAGCCAAACUAAAUUGACGAACUGACCAUA